rnacentral:rRNA from 1 species
AUGGACCUGGAUGGCUUCCCACUUGACCACGAGUUUUCGGAGGACUAUGGCCAAGAGGAAGAGGACGAGUGCGACAUCGAAGGGGAGCCUUUGUUCGAGGACGAGCCCGCCAACCAAGCCGCCGGGCCGAAGCUGAAGCAGAAGAGCAAGUGGACCAAGGCAUACACGGCAGCCAAGGACAAACUUCUUUGCGAGUGUUGGAGAGACAUUGGGCAAGACCCCAAGACGGGCGCCGAACAAAAGCAUUCAACUUUUUGGAUUCAUGUCCAUCGUGAGUUUCAUGAGCUCAAGAAGUUUCCGCCUUACCAAAUAGUGAGCACGCGCGGGUGGGUGUCCAUUUCGAAGCGAUGGAGGGUGAUCCAACAAGAGUGCAACAAGUUCUGUGCCACUCUUGAGAGCGUCAAGGCCCGCCCCGUGAGCGGCAUCGGCAUGCAAGACAUGGUAUGCUAG